ensembl:lncRNA
ACCGGGUCUCACCUUGUACCCCAGGCUGGCCUCGAACUCGCGGUGAUCCUCCUGCCUCAGCCUCCAGAGUGCUGAGAUUACAGGCGGGAGCCACCACGCCCAGCUCGAAAGAAACAUUUUUUAAACACCAUUAACACGGAAGCAGCUUGGGGUGCGGUAGAGAGUGGUGAAGUGCGGUCGGUGAGAAGAUGGAGCUGCAGCCAGGUCCCUCAGCCCAGCUGUGUGACCUCGCGGGUAGAGCGGAGAUCGCCAACCCCCGCAGAGUGCAGAGCCGGGGCAGAAGUGCACCUGGGGCGUGGACCCCGGCGCCCACACAGCGGAAGCGUCCCGAGGGAGGCCAGGGUGACGGUUUCUCCUGCCGAUCUCUCUCCAGGCAGGUCUCGCGUUUCCAGUCCCUUGCUUCUGUGAACCGAAGACAGACAGGGGUGAAAACAACUGUGAUGCUGGGGAUGUAGCUCAGUGGCACUGUGCCUGCCUGGCAAGUGCAAAGUCCCGAGUUCAAUUCCUGGUACUGGAAAAAAGGAAACAAAACAAAACAAAACAAAACCAAACCUGGCUGUGAUGUUGUGUUUCCAAAAAUCUUCUGUUCAUCAAGAAGGUUGAUUUGGAUCCACUGUGCAAUCUAACUCUACCAGCAAAGAGUACUUCUCACCAAAGACAGAGAGACCUGUGUGGGUAUGUGCAUGCGUGUGUGCGUGUGUGUGUGUGUGUGUGUGUGUGUGUGUG